rnacentral:RNase_P_RNA from 2 species
AGAGCGUGUCGGGCGGUCGCCGGUUUCCUGCGGGAGCCGGAGGAAAGUCCGAGCAGGACAGGGCACGGUGGUGGCUAACGACCACCUCCCGAUUUAUCGGGACGGGAAAGUGCCACAGAAAACACACAGCCGAUGGCCCUAAGGGCACAGGCAAUGGUGAAAAGGUGCGGUAAGAGCGCACCGCGGCGCCGGCGACGGCGCCGGCAGGGUAAACCCCACCGCCUGCAAGACCAAGCAGCCGGUCACCCGGCCCGGGUAUCACUCCGGCGGGUAGGUCGCUUCCCGAAUUCUCGGGAGAGCCGACGGGUAAUCGUCGGUCGAGAUAAAUGACCGCCGCCCGCCACUACAGGCGGGGCACAGAACUCGGCUUACAGACACGCUCUUUAG